AGACCCCUGGGCUGACAGCCCAAGGGAUGCACCUCAAUGGCCCCCACCAGUGUCCGUAUCAGCACGCCUGGACCAGCUCAGAACAAGGGCCCCCAUCAAUGUCUCAGUCUCCAGAGAGGACCCUCCUCUCACCAAGUUGCCCCCAGAGCCCACCAGGAUUGUGGCAUCUGUAUUCCAGAAAGGAAGAUGGAGGAGGAUUUGAAAGAGAGAAGGCAAAAUUGUCAAUGGAGGAAGAAUCCCGGAAGCUGCCACAUGAUAUUUCUGCUUACGUAGCAUUUCACGUGCUGAUGAGCAAUGCAAUGGCUGGACACACUAAAAGAGAAGGAUUUUAAAUUCUUAAUAAGCCACAAACCAGAGAAUUGGAUGAGAGUAAUCAGUCCUCCUGGGUAAAUAAGAAUUGAUCCUCUUUUGC
rnacentral:lncRNA from 1 species